CCUACGGGCGGCAGCAGUGAGGAAUAUUGGUCAAUGGACGCAAGUCUGAACCAGCCAUGCCGCGUGCAGGAAGACGGCUCUAUGAGUUGUAAACUGCUUUUGUACGAGGGUAAACGCAGAUACGCGUAUCUGUCUGAAAGUAUCGUACGAAUAAGGAUCGGCUAACCCCGUGCCAGCAGCCGCGGUAAUACGGAGGAUUCAAGCGUUAUCCGGAUUUAUUGGGUUUAACGGGUGCGUAGGCGGUCGGAUAAGUUAGAUGUGAAAUCCCGAGGCUCAACUUCGGAAUUGCCUCUGAUACUGGUAGGCUAGAGAGUAGUUGCGGUAGGCGGAAUGUAUGGUGUAGCGGUGAAAUGCUUAGAGAUCAUACAGAACACCGAUUGCGAAGGCAGCUUACCAAGCUACGUCUGACGUUGAGGUACGAAAGCGUGGGGAGCAAACAGGAUUAGAUACCCCUGUAGUC
rnacentral:rRNA from 1 species